GAAUGAUUGCCAUUAGCAGAAUGGCAGUGCUGUAUCCCCAAGUUAUAGUUGAUCAUCCCUUUUUCUUUUUGGUCAGAAACAGAAGAACAGGUACCGUGUUAUUCAUGGGAAGGGUAAUGCACCCUGAAGCAAUGAAUACAAGUGGCCACGACUUCGAAGAGCUUUAACUGCCACCAGCUACCAAAAAGAGGAGAUAAGCACAUAAAGUUUGAAGUUAAUAUAUUUAAGGUUUGCUGUGUUUUUCCCCCAAGAUAUUGUUUAAAAUGCUUUCAGAUCUAACUGUGUGCAAGUCAGUUUCCAGAGGAAAGCUUACAGUAUUAAAUAAUGGUUCUGUUACUGUCAUUGUGGUUGCUGUGUCCUUAAAAUAAACCUGUGUACAUGUCAACAA